UACGAAGGGUGCAAACGUUGCUCGGAAUUAUUGGGCGUAAAGCGCACGUAGGCGGCUUUUCAAGUCCCAUGUGAAAUCCCACGGCUUAACCGUGGAAGUGCAUGGGAAACUGGAAGCUUGAGUACUUAAGAGGAUCGCGGAAUUCCCGGUGUAGAGGUGAAAUUCGUAGAUAUCGGGAGGAACACCAGUGGCGAAGGCGGCGAUCUGGGAAGAUACUGACGCUGAGGUGCGAAAGCGUGGGGAGCGAACGGG
rnacentral:rRNA from 1 species